ensembl:lncRNA
GGGGGAGGGGAAAGAAAAAAAAGAGGUUAGAGUGGGAGAGAGCCAAAGCAUAGGAGACUCUUAAAAACUGAGAACAAACUGAGGGUUGAUGGGGGGUGGGAGGGAGGGGAGGGUGGGGGAUAGGUAUCGAGGAGGGCACCUUUUGGGAUGAGCACUGGGUGUUGUAUGGAAACCAAUUUGACAAUAAAUUUCAUAUAUUGAAAAAAAAAAAAAAAAAGAAGUGGCUGCAGCCAGGCGCAGAGUCUGGUGUAAGCAAGUCAUGUCCAGGGGACAUGGAUGAGAGAUGUGGACAUCUGCACAUGGAAAUAGAGGUCUAUCAUGGUCCCUGCCCUUUGUCCUUGCCAUUUGUUCAAAUGAACAAAUUACUGAAUAAUGAUAAGUUUGGAUCAGAAUUGUAGGAGGAGACAUGUAUAUGGUGGGGCUCCCAGUAAAUAAAUAUUUCACAUAAGGGACUGGGAGAGUGGGGGCAGAAUCUGACAUCACUCGGCCAGUUCUGUCAUUUUAUAUAACGGUGUAAACUUUUUAGUGUGUAAUGAUAUAAACGGUUUGCUGUCUGUUGAAUAAGCAACUGUUUGCUAGAUUAUUAAGACUCUUCUCUAUCAUAUGUGAGAACCAGCCUGAGCUGACUUUGACAAAAAGAAACCAACCGCCAAAAAACCCAAACACCUUAUUUUGAAGCACAAGGGUGUGAGUUUCAUGUAACCCAAGGGCAGAGAUGAUCUAGGGGAUUGCAAUGUCAUCUGCAUUGUCUCUUUCCUCCUCUUCUGUCUUUCCAUUUGAACACUAGUCUCUCCAGCUGCUCUGCCUGGCAGAACACAGAGUCCCCAUCAGCUCCUGGACUCAUGGGAAUGCAGGGUCCUCUAUCCAGAGGGAGGCCCAUCUCUCUCAGCACACAUCCAAUGCCAGACAGGAUGCCGUGUGACCUUCAAGGCGGCCCACAAAAGAGGAGCAAGAUGGCACCGAUAGUCGGAAACUGGAACAAAGGCAAGCUUGACUGUGAUACAGAUGGGGUGGAGGAGUGGCUGGCUGGAUUCAAGAAGAGAGAGCGUAGAGGACUAGAGGCGUGAUGAAGAUGCUUUUAGCAGCAGUGUUUUUUGUUCCUUUUAAAGUAGCUUUUCUAAAAAAUGGGGAAUGAAAUACUUGCACAUGGUAAAAUGUCAAAAAGAACAAAGGAUGUACAGUAAAACAAUGAAAUAUAUAUCGCUCUAGCUCCCGCUCUGAGGUUUCUGCUGGUAACUUACAAAAUGUUCUAUGUAUAUUUAAGCCUAUAUAGAUAUAUGCAUACUAUUCUGUAGGUUAACAAAUAUGCAAAUAUGUAUACAAAUACUCUGCGCUUGUUUUUUCAGAGCAUAGAUAACAUAGAUUAACUUCAUUUGUUUAAGGUUAACACUGGUUCUACUGCAUGACUGUACCCUGAUUUUAACAGCAGUGCUUUGAGGGGACGAAAAUAGAAUUGUUGCCAAACACAGAGUGUUAAUCUUAAAUUUGAAGCCGAGGCAGUAAAUGACAGGUGUGAACAAGUUUACAGUUUGGAUACCUAUGUAAUCUGAGAUAUAUCACUUCAAUGACCCUUGCCUCAGUUUACCUAGCAGGGAAGGGAAAUCACUUUCCUUCUUGAUUCUGGUGUUAGAAAAUAUGAGUCAAAUCCCCUUAAAUAUAGGACUUGGGAAAAACAGCUACUGGAAAGGAUAUAUAUUAAUUUUUUCUUAUUAUCGAGAGGUGGGGUAUGGGCAGAAGGCAGCCCUUACUCUGAUUACAGCUACACUAAAUUGAGCUGACAUUGGUGGUGCGUUUUCUGGGUGUCUGUGAAUAGUCAGCUGAGUAAUGAAGCUGGGCUGACCCAGCUUAUUCUUGGUGUAUUGCUGGUCCUGGGGUACACUGGGAAAUGUUUAACAACUGGCUGUCCACAAAAACAAAAGCCCCGGUGUGUGGUUUGAUUCCCAUGGUGUAAAUGUUUCCAGCUGAUUGCUGGCUAUCGGUACACCGUCACUGAAUGCACACUUGGGGAGAGAGGCACACAGUUGGCUCUCCCCCCAGCUCUUCAGCACCUGUAUACCACGGUGGCCU